UCUCUCUCUCUGUGUGUUUUGGUCGUGGCAGAGGCGGCGGAAGUCGUCGGCCGCGCUGGGUAAGGCACGGCUGCGCCCCCGCCCCUCGCCCCUACCUCGCCGAGGAGCCGCCUCCCCUCCUCCCUCUCCUCCUUCUCCUCUACCCGCCAGGACGAACGGACGGACGGACAGACAGACGUCGCUGCGGCGCCGCCCGGCUCCCCCUCCCCCCGCGGCCUGGCCAGGUUGUUACUGGCAGAAGCACCCCUGAGAACUGAAUCCUGGAACGUGCUUUCAAGAGCUUGAAACAAAGGACUUCUUUCUAUCUAAUUUGAGCAUGGCUAAUAGAGGAGCAACAAGACCCAAUGGGCCAAAUGCUGCAAAUAAAAUUUGCCAGUUCAAACUAGUGCUUUUAGGGGAGUCUGCAGUUGGCAAAUCAAGUUUGGUGCUUCGUUUUGUAAAAGGACAGUUUCAUGAGUUUCAAGAAAGUACAAUUGGAGCUGCUUUUUUAACCCAGACUGUAUGUCUCGACGAUACAACAGUAAAAUUUGAAAUUUGGGAUACAGCUGGGCAAGAACGGUACCACAGUUUAGCACCUAUGUAUUACAGAGGAGCACAAGCAGCUAUAGUGGUAUACGACAUUACAAACGAGGAGUCCUUUGCCAGAGCAAAAAAUUGGGUCAAAGAACUUCAACGACAAGCAAGUCCUAACAUUGUAAUAGCUUUAGCAGGAAACAAAGCUGAUCUAGCGAACAAAAGAGCUGUGGAUUUCCAGGAAGCACAGGCUUAUGCAGAUGAUAACAGCUUAUUGUUCAUGGAGACGUCUGCCAAAACAUCUAUGAACGUAAAUGAAAUAUUCAUGGCAAUUGAAGUCAGAUAAAUUUACUUAAAGCACAGUUGCACAGGUCUUCUGUCAAGCACCAGAACAUUGGAAUAGCUAAACUAGCAAAAAAAUUGCCUAAGAAUGAACCACAGAAUGCAGGAGCCAGCUCUGCCAGAGGAAGAGGAGUAGACCUUACUGAACCCACACAGCCACCCAAGAGUCAAUGUUGUAGUAACUAAAACUUCAAUUGCUUUAAACUGUUCUGAAUAUUCUUCUGCUUCCUAACUGUUAAUAACCAUGGAAUUGGAGUGCUUAACCAGGCCCAGUACAGCUUCCCAACAGUGAAGAGACUUAUGAUAAUAGUCAAGUUCAUGAUACGGAGGGUUUUUUGACCUAAAAUUUUAAUAUGCAUGUAUCCACCACUGGCUGUAAUGUUUCAGAAGUAGAGGAGAGGUGGAAGCGGAAUAAACUUCCUUCACUUGAAAGGUUUUAAAAAUCGCUUACCGUUAGGGGUGUAGAAGAACUACUUUCUGUGGACCUGAUUGGCCAGUUGCUGUAGCCUCGAUACUGAUUAACUGUUAUAAUAAAUAGAAUUGGGACUUUUCGUAAUUCUCAAUUGUGCUUUAAAACCUUUUUAGGAACAGGGCCUAAAAAUUACUUAAACUUAUUCACAGUAUUGAUGCAACCAGUUGUUUCUGCAGGUAUCUACUGUUUAGUUAUACAUUCCAUAGUUUAAUAAUUUAAUUACAAAUAAUACUUGCAUUAACAAUUUUAAGAACCCUAUGCUUAUGGGAAAAUGGAGUUUUAGUUGGUACACUGCACGUAAAUUAUAUCAACCCAGUUAGUUUAUCUAAAGGAGUUUGUGAUAAAUCAAGUUUAACUUCAUUUCUAAUCUGUUCAGAGGGUACAGACCAGUGAAUUCAGCUUUAUGACUUAGGAUUUUUUUCCUCUACAAACUGUAAGAGCUCUUCAAGUAAAACCACAACAAACUCGAUGUCUGUGACUUCUUUCUUGGUUUUUUGAUCAUUGCUGGCCAUUACAGUUUGUUUUUCCCCUAAGGAAAAAAAUUAGUGCACUAACAAUUAUGUACAUCCAACUUAAUUUUAAAUUUGGAUAUUAAUGUACUGUAAAUAGGUACUCUGCAUUGUAGUCUACAUUUGUUUAAUACUUUCUGUAAUAUUUAAGAGUUGCUUAAAGGUAUACAGAAUGUACAGUUACUUAAAUCUAACUUUUUCCCCCUAAUCAAAGGGGGUUUCAAGUUCUUCCUUUAUGGCCAGAACAGUAAUAAAUGAUGCUCCUGUAUCUGUAACAUAAGUACUGCUGUCUCUCAGUAAUGAACUUUGCAACUUUGUUUUCCAAAGUACAUUUUAUUUUGAUCUGUCCGGUA